GAAAUCAAUUCAACAACAACUGCCCCGGUGCUUCCCCGUAGAUAGCACCGCUGGUCAGUUCGGGAGGGGAUGGGACAUUGAGGAGCAGGACAGUCUUCAGGAAGCUUACAGUCUGCUUUGGGUUGUUUCAGGAACACAGUCAUCCCUCAGAAAUGGAUUGGGUGACAAGUGGUCUGCAUGCUGCACACGGGCACUGGGUCUCUGAAUGUAACCAAAUUGUUCUCCUCUUAUCAUUCCCAUUCACUGGUGUACUUGUUUGUGGAGCCUGCAGAACUGCCUUUUUCAAGAAUGGCAGCUUGGCCUCUAAAUCUGCUUCCCACUGAUGGGAAGAGCUGACAGAAGCUUUAGAGAGGCACAGGGUGAGUUCCUAAAACCAGAGUCAACACACACUCUUCAUCUGUUUUGUGCUUCACUCCCUGCUCAUCUUCCUAAAACACUGAGUUUGGUCAUAUCAUGUCCUACAAGUUGUCAAUGAUUUCCCAUGAUCUUGUCUUCAGGAUAAAGUUCCUUAGUCAAAAGCAAUGAAGACCUGACCUAAUCUGUAAGGCAAAAUCAACACUUUUUAGCCUGGCCUUCCAUGCCCUUCCAUGCCCUUCGAGCCCCCAGAGCACCCAUGGCAGUCCAUCUCUCUCUACUUGUCCAGAGGGACACUCUCUUAGAGCCAGUGGCUCCUACUCACGGUUCCCCGAACACGUCGUGGGAAUGUUUGCCUUCAUACCUUCCCAGAUCAUUUUCCUGAUCUCAGACACCCUCCGUCCUCAUUCAUUCACUCUUCAAUUGUCCAACAAAUAUUUGUUGCUCAUGCAACCUGGAUCACCCACAUAGUUUCAAGACUGCAUCUUCUAAACUAUUUAAAUCCUAUCCAUUCUUCAAGAAAUGUUUCAUGACGCUUCCUUAACUGCUAAGGACCCGCAGAUUCUCUUCCUCUUGGGACUCACACACUGACUCAUCUCCCGAUCUUUUGGUGCUCAGCAAAGUGGAGGCUUCUGUUUUGGACUUAGAGUCAAGACCAUUAAAUAAGACUAUGCUCUAAAAAGUACACCUCCGUGGCCCGGAACGAGUGAAUUAACAUCUAUGAGUUUCCAUUUCCUUGUCUAUAAAAUUGUGAAAUUGCAACUUAAGAUUAGUUCUGAAGAUUAAAUGAGGUAACAUAGGUGAAAAUGCUACAUUUAUGUAAGAAAUUACUCUUUCAUAAGGAUGUCAAUGUUUAAAUACGCAUUUUCUCAAUUUUGUUAAUGAAAUACUU
rnacentral:lncRNA from 1 species